CUGGCUCAGAUUGAACGCUGGCGGCAUGCCUAACACAUGCAAGUCGAACGGCAGCACAGCAGUAGCAAUACUGUGGGUGGCGAGUGGCGGACGGGUGAGUAAUGCAUCGGGACCUACCUGAACGUGGGGGAUAACGUAGGGAAACUUACGCUAAUACCGCAUACGUCCUACGGGAGAAAGCGGGGGACCUUCGGGCCUCGCGCGGUCAGACGGACCGAUGUUCGAUUAGCUAGUUGGUAAGGUAACGGCUUACCAAGGCGACGAUCGAUAGCUGGUCUGAGAGGAUGAUCAGCCACACUGGAACUGAGACACGGUCCAGACUCCUACGGGAGGCAGCAGUGGGGAAUAUUGGACAAUGGGCGCAAGCCUGAUCCAGCAAUGCCGCGUGUGUGAAGAAGGCCUUCGGGUUGUAAAGCACUUUUAUCAGGAGCGAAAUACUGUCGGUUAAUAACCGGCGGGGCUGACGGUACCUGAGGAAUAAGCACC
rnacentral:rRNA from 1 species